GUGCUCAUAGGCCCCUCUCUGCCAUCUCAUCCCCUGCCUUUCCCCUACACAGCCCCAGGUCUCCUGGAUCCCCAACAAGCACUACUCCGGCCUCUAUGGGCUAAUGAAGCUGGUGCUGCCCAGUGCCUUGCCCGCUGAGCUGGCCCGCGUCAUUGUCCUGGACACGGAUGUCACCUUCGCCUCUGACAUCUCGGCACUCUGGGCACUCUUCGCUCACUUUUCUGACACGCAGGCGAUCGGUCUCGUGGAGAACCAGAGUGACUGGUACCUGGGCAACCUCUGGAAGAACCACAGGCCCUGGCCUGCCUUGGGCCGGGGAUUUAACACAGGACAUAUUCAACGCUGUGAUCAAGGAGCACCCGGGGCUAGUGCGGCGUCUGCCUUGUGUCUGGAAUGUGCAGCUGUCAGAUCACACACUGGCCGAGCGCUGCUACUCUGAGGCGUCUGACCUCAAGGUGAUCCACUGGAACUCACCAAAGAAGCUUCGGGUGAAGAACAAGCAUGUGGAAUUCUUCCGCAAUUUCUACCUGACCUUCCUGGGGUACGAUGGGAACCUGCUGCGGAGA
rnacentral:sRNA from 1 species